UGGAAAUGGUGCUCCGCAGUGUUCACAUAGU
rnacentral:piRNA from 1 species